rnacentral:rRNA from 1 species
UACGUAGGUGGCAAGCGUUGUCCGGAUUUACUGGGCGUAAAGAGCGCGCAGGCGGUUGUUUAAGUCGAAUGUGAAAGCCCCCGGCUCAACUGGGGAGGUCAUUCGAUACUGAUCGACUUGAAGGCAGGAGAGGGAAGUGGAAUUCCGGGUGUAGUGGUGAAAUGCGUAGAUAUCGGGAGGAACAUCUGUGGCGAAGGCGGCCAUCUGGACCAGCACUGACACUGAGGCACGAAAGCGUGGGGAGCAAACAGGAUU